UACAGAGGUCUCAAGCGUUGUUCGGAUUCAUUGGGCGUAAAGGGUGCGUAGGCGGCGCGGUAAGUCGGGGUGUGAAAUCUUGGAGCUUAACUCCGAAACUGCAUUCGAUACUGCCGUGCUUGAGGACUGGAGAGGAGACUGGAAUUUACGGUGUAGCGGUGAAAUGCGUAGAUAUCGUAAGGAAGACCAGUGGCGAAGGCGGGUCUCUGGACAGUUCCUGACACUGAGACACGAAGGCCAGGGGAGCAAACGGG
rnacentral:rRNA from 1 species